rnacentral:rRNA from 1 species
AUUGAACGCUGGCGGCAGGCCUUACACAUGCAAGUCGAACGAGUGGCGGACGGGUGAGUAAUGUCUGGGCAACUGCCCGAUGGAGAGGGGUAAGUACUGGAAACGGUUGCCACAACCGCAUUCCAUGGGAUGUGCCGAGAUGGGAUUAGCUAGUGGGUGGGGUAAAGGCUCACCAGGGCGAAGAGCCCUAGCUGGUCUGAGAGGAUGACCAGCCACACUGGAACUGAGACACGGCCCAGACUCCUACGGGAGGCAGCAGUGGGGAAUAUUGCACAAUGGGGGCAAGCCUGAUGCAGCCAGGCCGCGUGUAUGAAGAAGGCCUUCGGGUUGUAAAGUACUUUCAGCGGGAAGGCGUUACUCGCAGAAGAAGCACCGGCUAACUACGUGCCAGCAGCCGCGGUAAUAC